rnacentral:rRNA from 1 species
CUAGAGUAAUGGAGGGGCAUCUGGAAUUCACGGUGUAGCAGUGAAAUGCGUAGAUAUCGUGAGGAACACUAGUGGCGAAGGCGAGAUGCUGGACAUUUACUGACGCUGAGGUACGAAGGCCAGGGUAGCGAAAAGGAUUAGAUACCCUUGUAGUCCUGGCAGUAAACGGUGCUCGCUUGGUGUGGGAAGGUUCGACCCUUUCCGUGCCGGAGCUAGCGCGUUAAGCGAGCCGCCUGGGGAGUACGGCCGCAAGGCUAAAACUCAAAGAAAUUGACGGGGACCCGCACAAGCGGUGGAGUAUGUGGCUUAAUUCGAUGCAACGCGGAGAACCUUACCUGGGCUUGACAUGCUUAUCAUAUCCCCAUGAAAGUGGGGAGUCAGUUCGGCUGGAUUUGCACAGGUGCUGCAUGGCUGUCGUCAGCUCCUGUCGUGAGAUGGUUGGGUUAAGUCCCGCAACGAGCGCAACCCUUG